AUCUACAGGUCGAGCAAGUCUCGUAAAUUUCACGAUUGCGAGCCACGCUUCACGCAACCGUGUUUGCAUACUUGUGUUUCGAGUUGCGUGGUCGUGCGGAGUUAUAUUUACCAAAUUUAAAUAUAAUCGUUUCUAUUACCAUGCUGUCAAAAUUAAAUCAAUAUGGCUACUAAUCUUAUUCUAUCUGUUCUUCAUGAGUUUUAGAUAAUUUUAGUUGUAUUUCUUUGUAAUUUUGUGUUGUACAAAGAUUAAUUUAACAUUUUCUCUGGAAGUAUUAAUUUAGAAAGAUAAUAUGCUUCAUUGGUGUUGUGUUUUGAAGUGUGAAAUGCAAAGUAAUUGUGAUAAAGUCAAGAUAUUCACUUUUAAACUGAACUAAAUAAGGUAUCAUCUGAGAGACAACAAUGGUUAAAUGCAAUACAAUGUACAGGUUUUACUAGCGAAAUGAAAAUUUUCCUGUCCUGUCUGCUGUAAUCAUUUUAUAUAUGGAAAACCAGCCGACUUAAUCGAUAAUAACAAUCUCCAGAUUGGGUUCCUUCAAUAAAUAUGGGCUAUAAACACAAUGGAAUAAGUUCCCCAAAAUCUAAAAUGGAGUGGUAUCAAAGGAGAAUUAAAGGAAAAAAUAUUCAUAUUGAAAUUAUUUAUAAGGCACUGGACUGUCUUAAAUUCUACAAUAAUACUAGAAUCAGCUGAGAGAAGUGGUCUACAAAAAACCAGGAAGGAAACGGAAUAUGUGGCUACGAAAGGCAAAAGAAAGGUUUACAAAGCAAAUGUGACACAUUUUUUUGAAAUAUUUAGGAAUAUCAGUAAAUUGCAUUAAAAAAAUGUAUGAAAAGAUUUUGUUCAAUAAAA